rnacentral:rRNA from 1 species
GACGAACGCUGGCGGCGUGCUUAACACAUGCAAGUCGAACGGAAAGGCCUCUUUCGGGGGGUACUCGAGUGGCGAACGGGUGAGUAACACGUGAGUAACCUGCCCUUGACUUUGGGAUAACUUCAGGAAACUGGGGCUAAUACCGGAUAGGAGCUCCUGCUGCAUGGUGGGGGUUGGAAAGUUUCGGCGGUUGGGGAUGGACUCGCGGCUUAUCAGCUUGUUGGUGGGGAAGUGGCUUACCAAGGCUUUGACGGGUAGCCGGCCUGAGAGGGUGACCGGCCACAUUGGGACUGAGAUACGGCCCAGACUCCUACGGGAGGCAGCAGUGGGGAAUAUUGCACAAUGGGUGGAAGCCUGAUGCAGCAACGCCGUGUGCGGGAUGACGGCCUUCGGGUUGUAAACCGCUUUCGCUCAUGACGAAGCUUUGUGUGACGGUAGUGGGUAAAGAAGCACCGGCUAACUACGUG